rnacentral:rRNA from 1 species
GGGGUUAGGAGGAAUUAAUGAUAAAAGGAUUGAGGAUUUGAUUUUUUCUAGAGAGGUGAAAUUUGAAUAGGAGGGGUUGUUUCUGUAUUUUCAUUUUUCUGAGGCCCCGAAAGAGCGAGGGGAAACCGGGAUUAGAUACCCCGUUAUUGGCUCUGUAAACUUUAAUUCUUGGAAGUAUUUACUUGGGUAUUACGAGCUGCUUUGCAGUUAUUGUUGGUCUGUGAAGUAGAAUGCUUAAAACCCAAAAAACUUGGCGGUGCCUUAAUUCUUUCCAGGGGAACCUGUCCUGUAAUUGAUGGUCCACGAUUUAGCUUACUUUUGAUUGUAUGUCUCUGGGGUUACCAAGAGUUACAACUUGUAUACCGUCGUCGUCAGAUUACCUUUAAGAGAUGAGUAGUUGUCGGUAAAGGUGGUUCCCUGAUUACUUAGUUUGGGAGUAGUGUUAAUUUCUUGUAAUAAGGUGAGAGGGGAGCGUCUUUGAUGUCAGAUCAAGGUGCAGUUGAUGCGAAAGUAGAGAUGGGUUACAGUAAUUAUUUGUUAGCGGAUAUCGAAUUGUAAGUUUUGAUUAAAGGUGGACUUGGGAGUAAUUCGUGAAAAAUAUUGUGUAAGUAGAGAGUUCGUGUGAAAUAUCAGUGCUAAGGUGCGU